CAGCAGCAAGGUCAGUGGCCGUCUCUCCAGACCUGUUCCUGGCACCGUAUAAAAGAUAAGGUAUUGCUUUGCCUCAUUUUUCUGUAAAGGAUGUCAUACUCUUAUUUCAGUAAGUCAAACUCUUCUUUUAUUUUAGAGGCAACAGCACAUGGAAUUGGAAAACAGCAGGAAAAAGCCUUCAUAAUGUUACAGCUCACUCUGGAUGCUGCAUUAAGAACAGACUCAACAGGAAUAAAAAUGGGAGCAGGGAAACCAAGAAGCUAUUUCAUUUGUCCAGGGAUUACAUCUGGAAGAAGCAGCCAGGACCAGACUAGGACAUGGCCAUGAUGGGAGGAGGGAGAGGGUGGAACCGCUUCACAACAAGGACACAAAGAUGCACCAGGCAGGAAGGAACCAAAGCACUUCUUCCUCUGGGUCAGGCCAGGAAGAGUUGAGCCCCACCUAGAUGAUCAAGCCAAGCCUGUUGAGGAAGGCUUCCAAGAGAUGUCAAGAUAGCCAGAGUGUUCUGCAGAAGCUUAAGGCCCGCUGGACAGGGACCCGUGGCCAGAAUGAACUGCUGUGGUGAGCCACUUCGGAGAGCCAGAGGAAAUCUGAAAAUAGCUCCCACUAGCAGCCUGGAGCCACAUCCUGGACAAGGCUGCCCCCCUGAUGCAGACUGGGGGCUGGACACUGUAGUGGAGACCUGUGGAUCCAACAUGGACGGGUGUCCUUGUCCUUUUGGCUAUGAAAGCCUGUAGGACUCAAGAGAACUUUUGUUUGUGGAUUUAGCUUUCUUUUAUUUAAACUAUUCAAACCACAUUGUUAGCAGAACACAAAUGCUGCCUCCCUCCUAUCCACCCUCCUUGCACUUUCUGGGAAUCCAGCUGGGGGGCUGAGCAAAGAAACUGUGAGAACUCCGUCCUCCGCCAACCUUGUCCAAGUAGGGAACUCUCCCUGUUUGCUGCAGCUCAGUGGUUACACUUUUAUCAAUGCUUCUUAACAUUAAUAUCAUAAGCUGUUCGUUCAUAUUUAGCUUGUGGUUGACCUAAACCGCCAGAUCUUUUUCACACAAACUGCUCUCAGGCCAGUUCUUCCCAGCCUAUGCUUCUAGUAC